rnacentral:rRNA from 1 species
GACGAACGCUGGCGGCGUGCUUAACACAUGCAAGUCGAACGGAAAGGCCCGGCGCUUGUGGGGUGCUCGAGUGGCGAACGGGUGAGUAACACGCGAGUAACAUGCCCCUGACUGUGGGAGAACUUCAGGAAACUGGGGCUAAUACCGGAUAGGAGCUCCUGCUGCACGGGGGGGGAUGGAAAGUUUCGGCGGUUGGGGAUGGACUCGCGGCUUAUCAGCUUGUUGGUGGGGUAGUGGCUUACCAAGGCCUUGACGGGUAGCCGGCCUGAGAGGGUGACCGGCCACCUUGGGCCUGCGGUACGGCCCAGUCUCCUACGGUAGGCAGCAGUGGGGAAUAUUGCGCAGUGGGCCGAAGCCUGAUGCAGCAGCGCCGCGUGCGGGAUGCCGGCCUUCGGGUUGUAAACCGCUUUCGCCUGUGCCGAAGCGUGAGUGACGGUAAUGGGUAAAGAAGCACCGGCUAACUACGUG